rnacentral:rRNA from 1 species
GAUGAACGCUGGCGGCGUGCCUAAUACAUGCCAGUCGAGCGAACAGACGAGGAGCUUGCUCCUCUGACGUUAGCGGCGGACGGGUGAGUAACACGUGGAUAACCUACCUAUAAGACUGGGAUAACUUCGGGAAACCGGAGCUAAUACCGGAUAAUAUAUUGAACCGCAUGGUUCAAUAGUGAAAGACGGUUUUGCUGUCACUUAUAGAUGGAUCCGCGCCGCAUUAGCUAGUUGGUAAGGUAACGGCUUACCAAGGCGACGAUGCGUAGCCGACCUGAGAGGGUGAUCGGCCACACUGGAACUGAGACACGGUCCAGACUCCUACGGGAGGCAGCAGUAGGGAAUCUUCCGCAAUGGGCGAAAGCCUGACGGAGCAACGCCGCGUGAGUGAUGAAGGUCUUCGGAUCGUAAAACUCUGUUAUUAGGGAAGAACAAAUGUGUAAGUAACUAUGCACGUCUUGACGGUACCUAAUCAGAGAGCCACGGCUAACUACGUG